AAUGAACGUUGGCGGCGUGGAUUAGGCAUGCAAGUCGUAUGCGAAUUUGGGGCAACUCAUUAGUAGCAUGGCGAAAGGGGCAGUAAUGUAUAGGCAACCUGCCCUCCGGUCUGGGAUAUACGGUGGAAACGCCGGGCAAUACUAGACGCCCUUGCGGAUGGGCAUCCAUCUGCACGGAAAGGGAAACUGCCGGAGGAGGGGCUUAUAUCCUAUCAGCUAGUUGGUGCGGGUAACGGCCCACCAAGGCGACGACGGGUAGGGGGUGUGAGAGCACGACCCCCGUCACUGGCACUGAGACACUGGCCAGACUCCUACGGGAGGCUGCAGUCGAGAAUCUUCGGCAAUGGGCGAAAGCCUGACCGAGCGACGCCGCGUGGUGGAAGAAGGCCUUCGGGUUGUAAACACCUGUUGGGGGGGAACAAAUUUGAGUGAACCCCUGAGGAAGCACGGGCUAAGUUCGUGCCAGCCGCCGCAGUAAAAC
rnacentral:rRNA from 1 species